UUGAAUAGGCAAAUUGUCGGAAACGGCAAGACGCAAAGUUAUGAGCCUACGGCAAAUUAAGCUAUGGCAGUCAGA
rnacentral:ncRNA from 1 species